AUUGAACGCUGGCGGCAGGCUUAACACAUGCAAGUCGAGCGGUAGCACAGGGGAGCUUGCUCCCUGGGUGACGAGCGGCGGACGGGUGAGUAAUGUCUGGGAAACUGCCUGAUGGAGGGGGAUAACUACUGGAAACGGUAGCUAAUACCGCAUAACGUCGCAAGACCAAAGAGGGGGACCUUCGGGCCUCUUGCCAUCAGAUGUGCCCAGAUGGGAUUAGCUAGUAGGUGGGGUAAUGGCUCACCUAGGCGACGAUCCCUAGCCGGUCUGAGAGGAUGACCAGCCACACUGGAACUGAGACACGGUCCAGACUCCUACGGGAGGCAGCAGUGGGGAAUAUGGCACAAUGGGCGCAAGCCUGAUGAAGCCAGGCGGGGUGUGUGAAGAAGGCCUUCGGGUUGUAAAGCACUUUCAGCGAGGAGAAAGGUGGUGGGCUAAUACGUUCAUCAAUUGACGUUACUCGCAGAAGAAGCACCGGCUAACUCCGUG
rnacentral:rRNA from 1 species